rnacentral:rRNA from 1 species
GAUGAACGCUGGCGGCGUGCCUAAUACAUGCAAGUCGAGCGAACAGACGAUGAGGUUGUUCCUCUGAAGUUAGCGGCGGACGGGUGAGUGACAAGUGGAUAACCUACGUAUAAGACUGGGAUAACUUAGGGAAACCGGAGCUAAUAACGGAUAAUAUAUUGAACCGCAUGGUAAAAUAGUGAAAGAAGGGUUUGCUGUCACUGAUAGGAGGAUCAGCGCCUCAUUGGAUAGUUGGUAAGGUAAAGGCUUACCAAGGAAACGAUGCUUAGCCGACCUGAGAGGGUGAUCGGCCACACUGGAACUGAGACACGGUCCAGACUCCUACGGGAGGCAGCAGUAGGGAAUCUUCCGCAAUGGGCGAAAGCCUGACGGAGCAACGCCGCGUGAGUGAUGAAGGUCUUCGGAUCGUAAAACUCUGUUAUUAGGGAAGAACAAAUGUGUAAGUAACUAUGCACGUCUUGACGGUACCUAAUCAGAAAGCCACGGCUAACUACGUG